rnacentral:rRNA from 1 species
AUACGGAGGUUCCAAGCGUUAUCCGGAAUCAUUGGGUUUAAAGGGUCCGCAGGCGGUCAAUUAAGUCAGAGGUGAAAGCCCAUCGCUCAACGAUGGAACUGCCUUUGAUACUGGUUGACUUGAGUUAUACGGAAGUAGAUAGAAUAAGUAGUGUAGCGGUGAAAUGCAUAGAUAUUACUUAGAAUACCGAUUGCGAAGGCAGUCUACUACGUAUAUACUGACGCUGAGGGACGAAAGCGUGGGGAGCGAACAGGAUUAGAAACCCUAGUAGUCC